AUUGAACGCUGCGGCAGGCUUAACACAUGCAAGUCGAGCGAGCGGCGGCCGGGUGAGUGAUGCUUAGGAAUCUGCCUAUUAGUGGGGGACAACAUCUCGUAAGGGAUGCUAAUACUGCAUCCUAUUACAUGAGCCUAGUCGGAUUGGCUAGGUGGUGAGGUAAAGGCCUACCAAGGCGACGAUCUGUAGCGGGUCUGAGAGGAUGAUCCGCCACACUGGGACUGAGACCCGGCCCAGACUCCUACGGGAGGCAGCAGUGGGGAAUAUGCACAAUGGGCGCAAGCCUGAUGCAGCCAUGCCGCGUGUGUGAAGAAGGCCUUCGGGUUGUAAAGCACUUUCAGCGGGGAGGCGUUACCCGCAGAAGAAGCACCGGCUAACUCCGUGCCAGCAGCCGCGGUAAUAC
rnacentral:rRNA from 1 species